rnacentral:rRNA from 1 species
CCCUUAGACGUUCUGGGCCGCACGCGCGCUACACUGACCAGUGCAACAAGCAUCCGUCCUUGGCCGACAGGCCCGGGCAAUCUUUGAACGCUGGUCGUGAUGGGGAUAGACUUUUGCAAUUUUUGGUCUUCAACGAGGAAUUCCUAGUAAACGCAAGUCAUCAACUUGCAUUGUUUACGUCCCUGCCCUUUGUACACACCGCCCGUCGCACCUACCGAUUGAAUGGUCCGGUGAAGCCUCCGGAUUGGCGCGCACCUCGGUGCCGCCGAGAAGUUGGCUAAACCUUACCAUUUAGAGGAAGGUGAAGUCGUAACA